rnacentral:rRNA from 1 species
UACGUAGGGGGCGAGCGUUGUCCGGAUUUAUUGGGCGUAAAGGGCUCGUAGGCGGUUUGGUAAGUCGGAUGUGAAAUCUCCGCGCUCAACGUGGAGGCGCCAUCCGGUACUGCCAUGACUAGAGUCCGGUAGGGGAGUGUGGAAUUCCCGGUGUAGCGGUGAAAUGCGCAGAGAUCGGGAGGAACACCCGUAGCGAAGGCGGCACUCUGGGCCGGUACUGACGCUGAGGCGCGAAAGCGUGGGGAGCGAUCCGG